GAGGAAUAUUGGUCAAUGGGCGCGAGCCUGAACCAGCCAAGUAGCGUGCAGGAUGACGGCCCUAUGGGUUGUAAACUGCUUUUGUAUGGGGAUAAAGUCAAUCACGUGUGAUUGUUUGCAGGUACCAUACGAAUAAGGGCCGGCUAAUUCCGUGCCAGCAGCCGCGGUAAUACGGAAGGUCCGGGCGUUAUCCGGAUUUAUUGGGUUUAAAGGGAGCGUAGGCCGGAGAUUAAGUGUGUUGUGAAAUGUAGACGCUCAACGUCUGACUUGCAGCGCAUACUGGUUUCCUUGAGUACGCACAACGUUGGCGGAAUUCGUCGUGUAGCGGUGAAAUGCUUAGAUAUGACGAAGAACUCCGAUUGCGAAGGCAGCUGACGGGAGCGCAACUGACGCUUAAGCUCGAAGGUGCGGGUAUCGAACAGGAUUAGAUACCCUGGUAGUCCGCACAGUAAACGAUGGAUGCCCGCUGUUGGUACCUGGUAUCAGCGGCUAAGCGAAAGCAUUAAGCAUCCCACCUGGGGAGUACGCCGGCAACGGUG
rnacentral:rRNA from 1 species